UGUAUAAUGACAGCUUGUCAUUUUUUCGGCGAAUUCCAAAUAUAAACAAAUGUAUUUUGACAAAGUGGGUGAAAUCAGGUGGGCUAAUCGGACGACCUAUUUAAUGGGCCUUGGUAAAAAUUUUUCACAGAAAACGCACAGAACUAAAAAAAAUUAAAUUCGUUUGGUACAUGGUAGAAAUACCAGGUAACAACAUAGGCGAAAAUUACAACAAAGCAACUUUUGUCGGAACUUGAUAUGUCGAAAUUGAAAUUUUGUGAAAAAGUCGAAGACUCGAAAUAAGACAAGAAACCAAGAAACAACCACCAAAAUGAGGAUAAUUUACAAAGGCUGCUGCUCCAAACAAUGAAUUUUGCCGUGGAAUUCUAAAAAUGUAGAUUCCUUCAACACAUCAAAUCCUCAAAUUUUAAAGAAAAUUACCGGCUCUUAAAUCGUGGAUAUUUGAAGAACAUUCCGGGUCUCAGUCGUGGCUAUAUCUCGAAAGCAUAUUUGCGGAUCUCAAAUGGUGGAUUUGUUGAUUUAUUUCAGACCUAAUUUUUUUUAUUUUUGAAAUGAGACCAAUUGUUUAUCUUGAAGUCCUAAAGGAAUCGUCCAUCAAUAAAAGUCCAAGUUUUAAGGAGCUUCAGUCGGAGCUUCGACAGAAAUAUAUAAUCAGAAUUUGAUCACUUA